rnacentral:rRNA from 1 species
GAUGAACGCUGGCGGCGUGCCUAAUACAUGCAAGUCGAGCGGACAGACGAUGAGCUUGCUCCUCUGACGUUAGCGGCGGACGGGUGAGUAACACGUGGAUAACCUACCUAUCAUACUGGGAUAUCUUCGGGAAACCGGAGCUAAUACCGGAGAAUAUCUUGAACCGCAUGGUUCAAUAGUGAAAUACGGUUUUGCGGUCACUUAUAGAUGGAUCCGCGCCGCAUUGGCUAGUUGGUACGGUAAAGGCUUAUAAAGGCAACGAGGCGUAGCCGACCUGCGAGGGUGAUCGGCGACACUGGAACUUAGCCACGGUCCAUACGCCUACGGGAGGCAGCAGUAGCGAAUCUUCCGCAACGGGCGAAAGCCUUACGGAGCAACGCCGCGUGAGUGAUGAAGGUCUUCGGAUCGUAAAGCUCUGUUUUUAGUUAAGAACAAAUGUGUAAGUAACUGUGCACGUCGUGACGGUACCUAGUCAGAAAGCCACGGCUAACUACGUG